UACGAAGGGUGCAAGCGUUACUCGGAAUUACUGGGCGUAAAGGGUGCGUAGGUGGUUUGCUAAGUCUGAUGUGAAAGCCCUGGGCUCAACCUGGGAAUGGCAGUGGAUACUGGAAAGCUAGAGUGCGGUAGAGGGUAGUGGAAUUCCCGGUGUAGCAGUGAAAUGCGUAGAGAUCGGGAGGAACACCAGUGGCGAAGGCGGCUACCUGGACCAGCACUGACACUGAGGCACGAAAGCGUGGGGAGCAAACAGG
rnacentral:rRNA from 1 species